rnacentral:rRNA from 1 species
UCGGGAGGCAGCAGUGAGGAAUAUUGGUCAAUGGGUGCAAGCCUGAACCAGCCAUCCCGCGUGAAGGACGACUGCCCUAUGGGUUGUAAACUUCUUUUGUAUAGGGAUAAACCUACCCUCGAGAGGGUAGCUGAAGGUACUAUACGAAUAAGCACCGGCUAACUCCGUGCCAGCAGCCGCGGUAAUACGGAGGGUGCAAGCGUUAUCCGGAAUUUAUUGGGUUUAAA